ensembl:rRNA 5S_rRNA 5S ribosomal RNA
ACAGUCUCCCUGCACACUUGCCUCUUAAAAAGGUCUUUUAAAAAUCAACCUAGUUGGAUCUCGGAAGCUAAGCAGGGUUGGGCCUGGUUAGUACUUGGAUGGGAGACCACCUAGAAAGACCUGGUACUGUA